CCAGGAUCAACACAGAGAUAAACACAGAGAUAAACACAGAGGGCACAACCACGCCAGGAAACAUAGAAGACAUACCAACAAGUAACAAUGGGACACACAGGUGUGUAUAUAUACACAGACACUAAUCACAAGAACAGGACACAGCUGGAGGAGGCAAAGACAAGACGGCAGCAGGUGAUCAGACACAGAAGGAUCAAAUCAGGGCGGGGCAAACAAAUCAAAACACAAGGUGAGUGAGUGAAAGCCAGGAACAUGACAGGGAUUCUGUAUCCAGUAGUGCUGUUUGCAGAGACCAGGGAAGCAGUCCUGCAGCUGUAACUCUCAUUUCUCCUCCAAGCCAAAGGCCAGCCGGCUGACAGCCAACUUCCUUCCAAACCCAGUCCUUGGGAGUCUGUCCCCUUCCUCCUGGUUCGGCCAUGGUUUACACAGACCAACAGCUGCAGAGCAGACAAGCACUGUGAGUACCUCUUUCUGUUAGCCUUGAGAGUAAGGAGAUAAUCUGUCUGACCAUGCACAGCUGUGAGGGCAGCCUGACGAGCUACUGGGAUCCAACAUAUGACAGGGAGGGGGUUUAGUGGAGCAAGACCCUAUCCUCCAAUCCAGGCCACCGUGGCAGAUCUGGGUCUCGGACGGAAUGGGCAGAGAGGAAGCCUCCGGAAGCUGCAGUACAUGCCCUGCACGUGUGACAGAGGAAAUUUGUUGUUUAUGUCGUGAGUCUGCAGUUGCCACAUUGGAUAUCCCAAGUGUGUGGAAGACAUUCCCUUGUGAUGUGUUGAUGGUGGUGGUGGUCUUUUGCAUUAGAAGAAUUAUCGUGUAUGGUUACGCUCCCCAACAUACUGGCUGUGGCCAUGGAGGGGUGGUGCCAAUGUGACGUCACGUGUGACAAUCCUGGAGGUGGAGAGAUCUCUUUAGGGCAGCUGGAAUGGAGGAGCACCGUAGAUACAUCCACAUAUACAGUGCAUAGCCGAUGUCAGGCUGUUUUCAAUGUGUGAUAGUGUGCAUGCUCUUCAUUGUAUCCUUUCAUAUACUAAAUAAAAUAUAUAAAUAAACUAAGUGAUGAUUUCAGUGUGGCAUUUUCAAAUGCUGUGAAUAUCAGAUAGAAUAUUUUUCAUUUAUUAUUAUAGUAUUGCAUGUGUGAACACGUCUCAAUUGUGCUGUUACAUUGUUACAAAACAAUAUAUUGUGUAAGUUGAGCAAUAAAUGUCAA
rnacentral:lncRNA from 1 species